UUAAGCGACUAAGCGUACACGGUGGAUGCCCUGGCAGUCAGAGGCGAUGAAGGACGUGCUAAUCUGCGAAAAGCGUCGGUAAGGUGAUAUGAACCGUUAUAGCCGGCGAUGUCCGAAUGGGGAAACCCAGUGCAAUUCGUUGCACUAUCGUUUGAUGAAUACAUAGUCAAACGAGGCGAACCGGGGGAACUGAAACAUCUAAGUACCCCGAGGAAAAGAAAUCAACCGAGAUUCCCCCAGUAGCGGCGAGCGAACGGGGAGCAGCCCGGAGUCUGAAUCAGCUUGUGUGUUAGUGGAAGCGUCUGGAAAGUCGCAGGGUACAGGGUGAUACUCCCGUACACUAAAACGCACAGGUUGUGAACUCGAAGAGUAGGGCGGGACACGUGGUAUCCUGUCUGAAUAUGGGGGGACCAUCCUCCAAGGCUAAAUACUCCUGACUGACCGAUAGUGAACCAGUACCGUGAGGGAAAGGCGAAAAGAACCCCGGCGAGGGGAGUGAAAAAGAACCUGAAACCGUGUACGUACAAGCAGUAGGAGCCUCUUUAUGGGGUGACUGCGUACCUUUUGUAUAAUGGGUCAGCGACUUAUAUUCUGUAGCAAGGUUAACCGUAUAGGGGAGCCGCAGGGAAACCGAGUCUUAACUGGGCGUUAAGUUGCAGGGUAUAGACCCGAAACCCGGUGAUCUAGCCAUGGGCAGGUUGAAGGUUGGGUAACACUAACUGGAGGACCGAACCGACUAAUGUUGAAAAAUUAGCGGAUGACUUGUGGCUGGGGGUGAAAGGCCAAUCAAACCGGGAGAUAGCUGGUUCUCCCCGAAAGCUAUUUAGGUAGCGCCUCGUGAACUCAUCUUCGGGGGUAGAGCACUGUUUCGGCUAGGGGGUCAUCCCGACUUACCAACCCGAUGCAAACUACGAAUACCGAAGAAUGUUAUCACGGGAGACACACGGCGGGUGCUAACGUCCGUCGUGAAGAGGGAAACAACCCAGACCGCCAGCUAAGGUCCCAAAGUCAUGGUUAAGUGGGAAACGAUGUGGGAAGGCCCAGACAGCCAGGAUGUUGGCUUAGAAGCAGCCAUCAUUUAAAGAAAGCGUAAUAGCUCACUGGUCGAGUCGGCCUGCGCGGAAGAUGUAACGGGGCUAAACCAUGCACCGAAGCUGCGGCAGCGACACUAUGUGUUGUUGGGUAGGGGAGCGUUCUGUAAGCCGUUGAAGGUGGCCUGUGAGGGUUGCUGGAGGUAUCAGAAGUGCGAAUGCUGACAUAAGUAACGAUAAUGCGGGUGAAAAACCCGCACGCCGGAAGACCAAGGGUUCCUGUCCAACGUUAAUCGGGGCAGGGUGAGUCGACCCCUAAGGCGAGGCCGAAAGGCGUAGUCGAUGGGAAACAGGUUAAUAUUCCUGUACUCGGUGUUACUGCGAAGGGGGGACGGAGAAGGCUAUGUUGGCCGGGCGACGGUUGUCCCGGUUUAAGCAUGUAGGCGGAUGUUCCAGGUAAAUCCGGAACGUUAUCAACGCUGAGGUGUGAUGACGAGGCACUACGGUGCUGAAGUGACAAAUGCCCUGCUUCCAGGAAAAGCCUCUAAGCAUCAGGUAACAUCAAAUCGUACCCCAAACCGACACAGGUGGUCAGGUAGAGAAUACCAAGGCGCUUGAGAGAACUCGGGUGAAGGAACUAGGCAAAAUGGUGCCGUAACUUCGGGAGAAGGCACGCUGAUAGGUAGGUGAAGUGGUUUACCCAUGGAGCUGAAAUCAGUCGAAGAUACCAGCUGGCUGCAACUGUUUAUUAAAAAACACAGCACUGUGCAAACACGAAAGUGGACGUAUACGGUGUGACGCCUGCCCGGUGCCGGAAGGUUAAUUGAUGGGGUUAUCCGUAAGGAGAAGCUCUUGAUCGAAGCCCCGGUAAACGGCGGCCGUAACUAUAACGGUCCUAAGGUAGCGAAAUUCCUUGUCGGGUAAGUUCCGACCUGCACGAAUGGCGUAAUGAUGGCCAGGCUGUCUCCACCCGAGACUCAGUGAAAUUGAACUCGCUGUGAAGAUGCAGUGUACCCGCGGCAAGACGGAAAGACCCCGUGAACCUUUACUAUAGCUUGACACUGAACACUGGUCCUUGAUGUGUAGGAUAGGUGGGAGGCUUUGAAGCGUGGACGCCAGUCUGCGUGGAGCCAUCCUUGAAAUACCACCCUUUAAUGGCUGGUGUUCUAACGUGGGCCCCUAAUCGGGGUUGCGGACAGUGUCUGGUGGGUAGUUUGACUGGGGCGGUCUCCUCCUAAAGAGUAACGGAGGAGCACGAAGGUCAGCUAAUCCUGGUCGGACAUCAGGAGGUUAGUGCAAUGGCAUAAGCUGGCUUGACUGCGAGCGUGACGGCGCGAGCAGGUGCGAAAGCAGGUCAUAGUGAUCCGGUGGUUCUGAAUGGAAGGGCCAUCGCUCAACGGAUAAAAGGUACUCCGGGGAUAACAGGCUGAUACCGCCCAAGAGUUCAUAUCGACGGCGGUGUUUGGCACCUCGAUGUCGGCUCAUCACAUCCUGGGGCUGAAGUAGGUCCCAAGGGUAUGGCUGUUCGCCAUUUAAAGUGGUACGCGAGCUGGGUUUAGAACGUCGUGAGACAGUUCGGUCCCUAUCUGCCGUGGGCGCUGGAGAAUUGAGGGGGGCUGCUCCUAGUACGAGAGGACCGGAGUGGACGCAUCACUGGUGUUCGGGUUGUCAUGCCAAUGGCAUUGCCCGGUAGCUAAAUGCGGAAGAGAUAAGUGCUGAAAGCAUCUAAGCACGAAACUUGCCCCGAGAUGAGUUCUCCCUGACUCCUUGAGAGUCCUGAAGGAACGUUGAAGACGACGACGUUGAUAGGCCGGGUGUGUAAGCGCAGCGAUGCGUUGAGCUAACCGGUACUAAUGAACCGUGAGGCUUAACCUU
rnacentral:rRNA from 2 species